rnacentral:lncRNA from 1 species
UUGCACUUCUGUCAAGAUGGUUCUGACUCUUAAAGUCAAAGUGUAAAUGGCAAACCAUUUUUGGAGUCCAGGAUGAGCUAAUCUCAACCCAGACCUUACAAUGCAAUGAAGUAUGAAAGCCCAAAUUUGAAACAACAGGAGCUUCCUAUUAACAGGGAGAUGGAGUGGGAAGAGCAAUCAAUUUUAGGGAGAGAGAAGAAAAAGAAAAAGGAAAUAUUUUUCACAUAGAGAAAAAAGAACAACUUCAACAAUGGGGGAGUGAAAUUCAAGGUAGUAUUUUCCUGGCCCCAUUAUUUUUAUUGUAAACAUUGUGUAAGCAAAUUGUUUUAAGAAGUUUA